GUCCAGAGCCUGGGGUCAGCAGCUUGCCAACACGGGGUCACCAAGUGCAUCUGCACGGCUUCCCUUGAGCUCCUGGAGGUCAUCUCAGAAGCUGGCACUGAGCGGGAACUCAGUAACUCAUGGGUGAAUAAAAAGAAGGGGAAAAGACACAUCAUAUCUGACCUGAUCCACUGUGCUCACUGUAAAUGAAAUUUACGGACACUACGCCUACCUUCAUUUGGCUGUGAAAAGAAACCACG